rnacentral:rRNA from 1 species
UACGGAGGGGGCUAGCGUUGUUCGGAAUUACUGGGCGUAAAGCGCGCGUAGGCGGACCUGCAAGUCGGGGGUGAAAGCCCGAGGCUCAACCUCGGAACUGCCUUCGAUACUGCGGGUCUCGAGUCCGGGAGAGGUGAGUGGAAUUCCUAGUGUAGAGGUGAAAUUCGUAGAUAUUAGGAAGAACACCAGUGGCGAAGGGCGGCUCACUG